CAAGCCGGCCGUGGGGGCACCCCGCCGCAGGGCGACAAACUGAAGAAGAAAGGCAAGAAAGUCCUGCUGCUGGAGGAGCUGCUGGCGCAGAGGGACUUCACCGGCGCCAUCGCCCUGCUGGAGCUUUACAAUAUUUGUACAGAGACUAUGUGACUGGAUAGAAACUGCCUGUCCUUGAAAAUGUGAUAUUGACACCACCUGACUUCCGUGUCCAAUUUAAACGGCAUGUAGGGGAACAAGAUGAGGACACUGACCUCUGGUUUGGAUACUGUGCCUUUCACCUGGAGGACUACAAGAGAGCAU